AACGCGUAUGCAAUCUACCUUGUACAGAGGGAUAGCCCAGAGAAAUUUGGAUUAAUACCUCAUAGUAUUAUGAAAUCGCAUGGUUUUAUAAUUAAAGUUCCAACGGUACAAGAUGAGCAUGCGUCCCAUUAGUUAGUUGGUAAGGUAACGGCUUACCAAGACGAUGAUGGGUAGGGGUCCUGAGAGGGAGAUCCCCCACACUGGUACUGAGACACGGACCAGACUCCUACGGGAGGCAGCAGUGAGGAAUAUUGGUCAAUGGGCGCAAGCCUGAACCAGCCAUGCCGCGUGCAGGAUGACGCAUCUAUGGUGUGUAAACUGCUUUUGUACGGGAAGAAACACUCCCUCGUGAGGGAGCUUGACGGUACCGUAAGAAUAAGGAUCGGCUAACUCCGUGCCAGCAGCCGCGGUAAUACGGAGGAUCCAAGCGUUAUCCGGAAUCAUUGGGUUUAAAGGGUCCGUAGGCGGUUUAAUAAGUCAGUGGUGAAAGCCCAUCGCUUAACGAUGGAACGGCCAUUGAUACUGUUAGACUUGAAUUAGUGGGAAGUAACUAGAAUAUGUAGUGUAGCGGUGAAAUGCUUAGAUAUUACAUGG
rnacentral:rRNA from 1 species